rnacentral:rRNA from 1 species
UACGUAGGGUGCAAGCGUUGUCCGGAAUUAUUGGGCGUAAAGAGCUCGUAGGCGGUUUGUCGCGUCUGCUGUGAAAACUCGGGGCUUAACCCCGGGCCUGCAGUGGGUACGGGCAGACUAGAGUGCGGUAGGGGAGACUGGAAUUCCCGGUGUAGCGGUGAAAUGCGCAGAUAUCAGGAGGAACACCGAUGGCGAAGGCAGGUCUCUGGGCAUUAACUGACGCUGAGGAGCGAAAGCAUGGGGAGCGAACAGG